rnacentral:rRNA from 1 species
GACGAACGCUUGCGACGUGCCUAAGAAAUGCAAGUCGAACGGGGGAGCAAUCCCUAGUGGCGAACGGUCGCGUAACACGUGGGCAACCUGCCCUGAAGCGGGGGACAACAAGUCGAAAGAUUUGCUAAUACCGCAUGUGUCUCGCUGUGGCAUCACAGAGGAGACAAAGCCGCAAGGCACUUCAGGAUGGGCCCGCGGCCUAUCAGCUUGUUGGUGAGGUAACGGCCCACCAAGGCUUCGACGGGUAGCUGGUCUGAGAGGACGAUCAGCCGGAUUGGGACUGAGAUACGGCCCAGACUCCUACGGGGGGCGAGCAAUU